UGUAGUAUCAAAUAUUGUGCAUUCACACACAAAGGAAAUACAUUAUAGUAAAGUUCCUUCAGUAAAUAGUGAAGGUGAAGCGACAAUGCUAAACACCUGUGCCAAGGAAUGCUUUAUCCUGAUUUAGAGCUAAAAUAAAAGAAUAUAAAGAUGUAAAAAGAAUGAAAGUAAAAGAGGAAAAUCAAAAGGAUGAAAGUAAAGGAGAAAACUCAUCACUGUCUGUAACAGCAGAAACUGGCUUCUCAUUCUGUGUGCAGAAAACCAACCCUCCAAAUGCCAACAGCAGCUGAGGUCUCCUUGUGCUUCUCAGGAGCUAUCUGCUAGCAACACUCACCAUGGAAGCAGGAGAAUGGGGUACACCUGGCCCUGGGCACCACUAAAAGGAAGUGACUAGCCUUCAAAUGGGCUUGGUAAACACCUGCCAGCAAAGCUUCUGCGUGGAAACCCUUCUGGGAAGAGGUCAGGAAGAAAUGACAAAGAAAUGUGAACUACAACAAAUAAUGCCAUUUGCCUUGGAGUCACACAUUAGCAAUGCAAGGAAAGCAAUGACAGACAGCGUGGCAACUCCUGAGAGCUCCAGAGGACCUCUAACCCUAUGGAGAAGGUGGAUCUAACAAAUUCUUGAGCUGCAGUUUAUUUCCAAUGGCAAACCUAAUGCUGGAAUUGAAGCGUUAGCAUUUCUGUUUAUCCAACUCUACUGAAAGUAACUAAUACAUUUAUACAGCACUUUGGAUGUUUAGAUUAUAUUCAGGCAUUAGAGACAUCCUGUUCAGAAAAGCUACUUAAAUGAGCCAGGGAAUUUUAGGACAGAACUAAAUUCUCUGUUGCUGUCUUCAGAAAACCUUAGUGGCUGCUGAAGGAGCAUGAAUGGCUCUGAAGAUCUGCAGGUUCUCUGGGUGCAAGGGUGGAAUGGGAAAGACACUGCCUCAGCCCUCCUGGGUUCCUGUUGUGACCUUCUAUGCCAUUGCUGGAGUGACAGAUGGGUUUGCCUGGGGGCCUUGCUGGUGUUCUGCUGUUCCUAUUACCUGGGGGUUUAUGCUGGUGGCUGAGAAGUCCCAACAGUUCUGUUAUUUCCCCUGCACUGGGCAAAGGUGGCUGAAGAUGCUCACAGUGGGGCAGGGAUCCUCGAAUGAAAGGAAUUGGAGCAAUGCACAUGGCAGACAGAUGCUGAAUUCCUCCGUGUUUCAAUUACUCACCAGAGGAGUAUGCUGUGCUGUAGGCACAGGGACAAGGUGUGAGUAGGAAGUGUAUAGGGAAGGGGGGGUGCCUCUCCCACCAAGAAUAUGUGCUUUGUACCCUCCACUUUUCUGUUAUUCAGCCUGCCAGCAAAAUGAAAACCAUGUGAGGGGUGGAGCAGGAGGGCAGGGAUUUAUGGGUUGUUUUAUAUGAGAUGAUGUAAAACACUUUUAUUUCAAGUUCUCUGUUGCGUUAAUUUCCUUUCUCCUUCUCUUGCUCUUUUCAUAACCACAUGCAGGAGAGAGGCAGAGCAGGAGAGAUCCAGGCCCUGUGCAGACACAGCAUAAAUCUAACUACAGAAUGCCAGUGGUCAGUGGCUAACCCACCCCUUCUAUUACCAUGCCAUUUACUCUGGUUUCUGGGAAAUGAAACAUGGAGCCAGGUGAUGUCUUUGUGCUGUGGGCACCUCAGUUUGUGCUGGUUCCCAAAAGCUGUGCUGAAAUGGGGAGUUACAAUAAGUGUGCACUUUUUCCUUCCUAAAUAACCAUCCUGGGGGUUAGGGUUUACUGCUGUAUGGCAAGAUCCAUAUGUGUAUAUUGCUCCUGUGUCCAGACUAUAACAUUAUAGAGCAUAUUUAAAUGAAAAUCCUCAUCCACUGUGUAAAAAUAACAACCCCAGGACAAAAAAUCUGUUCAAAUUGUAGCAAUUAUUGCUCUUAUUUCCAUAAACCUUAAUCCUACCCUGGGCUAUUAGACCAAGUCUUUUUAAAGCCAUGUUGGACAGAAAGGUUUACUGAGAUCAGUCUGGAGGUCACCCAGAGCUUUCAUGUUCUAGUUAGAGCCUCAGUAAGUUCGGGGGGUCUGUGCACAGGCCUCAUGGCAGAAUCAGGCUGUCAGGGAUGAGGUAAAGGAAGUAGUUGUGGAAUAACCCAAUGAACUUCUAUGGUAAGGCAUGGAAAAUGCUUGGUUACAGGCUUGUUACUUCAUUCUGGACUGAGGACAGCAAAAAUGAAGAGACAGGAAAGGUUGGAAAAGAUUGUUUAAAGCAAAGCUAAUGAUAAUAAAAACAGCACAUGUGGAAGGUAGUAAAUGUGAUGGGAUGGGCAACCAUUCACUAAGCACUAAGUAGUGAUGGUAGCUACUAAACCAGCAGUGGUUGGGAACAGAGCUCAUCUCUGUGCAUUCCACCCUUAUU